rnacentral:lncRNA from 1 species
CAAAAUGAGCUCCCUGUCCUGGUUUGCAGGACAGAGGCAAGGAGAUGGUGAUAUUAUAGAAAGAGAAGAUACUUCAGUAUAGAAACCAUCCUUGGAGUAAUUUUAUUCUUGAAAAGAGAUCACAUACAAAGCUUGGUAUUUUAAGUCAGAAGAAAGGAAAGUGAACAUUUGGCUGAAGAGGCUGUUGGAUUGGCUUGAAUUUUACUACUGUUUUUCCUUUGGAAGAUGGAGCAAAUGCGCCUUGCGGAUUUCGUGUGUUGCGAAUUUUAGCUAAAAUAGAUCCUCAUGUUGAAACAUUUCCUAAAUUCUAUACCCACACACACAGUCCUGGAAUUCCUGCCAGUAAAACAUUUUCCAAGACACCAGAAUUGCAUUCUACUUCUUUUAAUACUGGAUGAAAUAUACUUUCAAGAGAAAGAGUACAUUUAACUUCCUUUUGGUUCAGUAAUAAUUUAGAUUAUGAAUGGAGAGCAUGUAAUUCUGGUGUCUGCGUUGGGUUGUUAAAAUAUUUGGACUCAAUUCAUUUACGUUUUUAAAUUUGGGGAGCUCCCCUUGUGGCGCGUAUCCAUGAGGAUUCAGGUUUGAUCCCUGGCCUCACUCAGUGGGUUGGAGAUCCGGCGUUGCUGUGAGCUGUGGUAUAGGUUGCAGAUGUGGCUUGGAUCCCUUGUUGCUGUGGCUGUGGUGUAGGCUGGCAGCUGCAGCUCCGUUUUGACCCCUAGCCUGGGAACUUCCAUAUAUGGCAGGUGCAGCCCUGAACAACAACAAAAAAAAAGGCAGAUAGGAAGAGGUAUAAACUCCUUAUGAGAUGUAUCCCCAGCCCACCCAGUUUACCUCCUUCUAGGCAGUGUCACCAGUUUCUUGCACAUUCUUCUGUAUGUAAUAACAGAUACAAAAGAAUACUACUUUCUUUCCAGUUUUACACUACGAUGACAUACUGUGUUCAUUGUCUAGGGUGUAUGCACUUAAGUUCAGGUAAUUCUUAAGGGAAAAAAUGAAAAGUGAAGGGUGUGUUGAAAGUCUUUAGUGUUCUCCACUGGAAACUGGUGUGAGGUUCAAAGGACAGUGUGCUUCAUCAUCACAGAGACCUUAGUAAGGUAACUCAGCAGAACGUGGAGCCGUGCAGUGACCUGUAAGAUCUGCCGUAUUUUUCUAAAGCAGUGACGACUUGUGUAGCUGAAGUCAGUCUACAGGAACUUGCUUUUUGGCUCAUUAUUUAGGGAGAAUUUUGCCUUUGGGUUUGGACAUUCACACACUUCCCAUCUAAUUUAAAUUUUAGUUAUGACUAUACUCAGCACUUCUUUCUUUUUUUAUAGAAACAUAAUUAUGUAUUUUUAUUGAAGAUAAUUGACAUAAAAUAUGAAAUUAGUUUCAGAUAUACAGUGUAAUGAUUCGAUAUUUGUACACAUUGUGAAGUGAUCCCAGUAGGUCUAGUUAACAUCCAUUUGAAAAAUGAGAGCUCUCCUGGCCUCUCAUGGCAUUUCAUGCUAUUGCCUUUGUAAAGUAUGAUCCCAGACUAAUAUAUUUGUUGAGAGAUACAUGUUUUUCUGCAGAGUUUUACAAUCUUGGAAAUGCCUCUGGCACUUACUAUUUCUAAUUUAUCUUGUGCUGGGGAGCACUUAUUUCUUUUCCAUUUUAUAGGGAUAUGAGUAAAUCAUUAGCCGACGAUAAUUAACUACUUUCUAUCACGUGCUGAAAUGUUGUGGGGCUCCUACUACCUUUCUUGGCUUCUGUGAGAAAUGUGUGAUUCAUUGAGUCUGCAUUCGGGGCGAGGAGGUUUAAGCAUCGCGGGCGCUGAGAACAGGUGCUGGGUCUUGUCUGCCUCGUCCCCCAGAGGCUCCUUCUCUUCCUGUUUUGAGCCGCACGACUCAGGACAUCUUGGGAUCAUUACAGUAGAGCUGUGCUUGAGCACCUUUUCUUGUAUUUAACAGCCUUUUCAGCCCCCUUCCCCAGCCCAGACAGAAGGUCUGCCAGUAUCAUGGCAAUACAGUCAGAUUUUUCUCCAUCUGCAUCAGCCCCCCUGUGGGAGGUGCACGGCAGGUACCAAGGUGCGCUUUUCUGCGCAUGCUCGCUUAGCGCCUAGUGGCUUCAGGACGGGCUGUGUUUACCCCCCGAGUCUAGCGCGCGGUAGGAAUGCCUUGCACGUCGAAUGAAUGGAGACCAGGCUGACUCUGGAGAGUCCAGCUCUGAGGAUAAGUGCCUGGAUGCCAUGCAAACGAGUUUAGAGCACAAGUUGAGACUUUGUAGGAAACCGUAGAAGAUGAACUGAUCGAGAGAAUGAUGGGCUUUCAUGUGCAUCCUGAGCAGUUAAUUCUCACACAUUAGAUGCGGGGAGAGGUUGGAGUGAGGCUUUUGACAAAGUCUAGGUGAGCAGCGACGGAGCUCUGCGUUGCUUAUUUCCCGCUGCUUGAACUAAAUUUCUGGGAAAAGAGAAAUCUAAUAUAUGAUGUAUACAAUAGAUCUGACAUUGUAAUACCCUUCAUAUUAUAAAGUUAUAGAAAGCCUAGUAUAAUAAGGGAAUACAGGGUGUUAGUAACCAUCUUAUACUCAGAAAGGAUAAUAUUUUAUAAACAGCUGAUUUUUUUUACAGUGUCUUAUAUGAUAGUAACGUAGAACCCAUCAAGUGGGUAAGAGUGUUGCUUUGAGAAGUGUGCAUUCAUCUCUUGGUCGCUUUGUCCAGUCUCUUCUCUAUGCUCUUAGAAGCUAGAAGGACUGAACAGAUGGAUAAGAUACGGGGCUGUUUGGGUUCCAGACAUUGGGCUCCCAGCAAACACUGCAUUAUUCCUCCUUAGAUACUAGACAUGUGUGUGCAAGGUACGAGUGUAAAUCAGUCCUGAGUGACUUGAAUUCAGUGGAAUUUUCUAACCAAAGUUACUAUUUAAAGAAGCCCUGGGAUGAAACUUCUGUGAAAUAGGCGCACUCUCAUUUCUACCCUUGUUCCCCAGGCAGGGUAUCCUGUAGCUUCUGUGUGGAUUGAAUUCUAGUUGGCUUACAACCUGCUUGGCGUGUACCAUUAACCAGCUCAGUGACACGGGAGCCCUCCAAAAGAAAUAAAACAAUCUAGCAUUGUACAAUCUCGGCUAGUAAAUAGAUUUUAAUUCUCUUCAGCUUGGGUGGGUGUGAUUUGCAUCUUCCCUAACAGACAAGCGUCUGCAAGUGUUUUGCCUCCAGAAGCUCAUUAAAAAUCAGUGCAAAGCCUGACAGUGACUCUAACAGCAGGCAAUAACUUGCAGCAGCCUUGUAAGUGGAUGGCAUUUCCAGUAUCAGUGACGCUUCCUCAUUUGUCUCGAAGCGCCCCAUGAAAGUUUAGUCCUGUAAGAUUUAAUAUCAUUCCCACAAUGCUGAUUUUUUAAUAAACCCCAGGGGAACUGUGAAAGAACCUACAGAGGGACAACAAAAAUCCUCAGAUUGUCUAUUUAUUGAAAUUAAUUUAUGCUCUGAGUUAAGCGAAAAAAAAAAAUUACUUUCAAGUAUGAACAGCCGGACAGCCUGCAGAAAUUUCCAACAGUGUUCCAGAGCCCUGUGGUAAAGCCGGCGUUUCUGUCGUGCUCCUUUAACACGCCCUUUUAUUUUUGUAAAAAACUUUGCAAUUCGUAAUUUCAGUGAAGCAGCUUUGUUGUUGCGUCAUACUGUCCAUUGAGCCGAAGCCUUUUGGGAAGACGGCAUUUGGAGAGGGACCCAGGGUGUAAUAGCUGAUCCCGCUGGCACGUGUCCCAGAGUAAGCGGGGCUGGAAGCUUUUAGUGUAGUUAAAAGAUGCCGGGCUGUCAUUUGCAUCCAUUGACACUGAGCAAGGAGGUUUCAGCCUGCGAUUUAUAGUCUGCUUCCCAGGAGAGCAGCUGGGGAAGAGCUGCGAAUUCCGUGUGAGCUGGGGACCUGUCAUCUGGUGUGCUUAAUGCAAUUCCACCUCAUCUUGGGAGCAGUUUCUGGGACCUGAUCAUCAUAAUAAUGCAUGCUCAUGGUGAAAGAUAAUGCUUGUGGUUAUGAGAAUGUGCAGAACUGAGUUGGGGCUUUGGCAUAAAGGUGGCAGUGGGGGGAGAAGGCAGAUAUUUGAUAAAUGGAUGGUGAUGAGGAGAAGGCAAGUGUUUUGGAUAAGGAAAGCCACACAUAUAUGAUUAAGAGCCUUAACAAUAUUUAUAAAAUGAUAGCUUUUCAGUACUAGUAAGACAAAGUGGCCCAUCUCUGGGCUUCCUUUAUAAAAAUCUACUUCAUCCUUGGAGGGUGCCUUUUUGUUGUUGUUUUUGUUCAAAGUCAUCCUAUCCCUCCAGGGAUAUGUUUAAUUAAUCCCAUCAUCUUCCAUUAGUGACUGUGCCAAUUUGAUCAUUCUUUUCCCUUCUGCUGCCCAGCCCCCUUUUCUUGACUCAAAGAAUAAUUGAUGCAACCAUGACUCUGUUUCCUCCCCCAGCACAUCUUCUGCAGACUGAGUUUAUGUAAGAUGGUCAGAUUUGUGGACAUACUAGAACACUCCAUUGUCAGAGCCGCCUUUCAUUGGUUCUGUUCCCUGGUGUUUGAUUUGACUGGCGUGGCGUUUGGAAGUGGUUGUGAUCUAUGCCGUCGUUGGAAAGCACUUUGGGGAGGAUCCAGGACCCACCAAACUGAUGAGAAUGAGCUCACUUGGACAGCCGCUCAGUCUCUCCCCAUUCGGGACCCCCACCCCCACCCCCGCUCACGGACAUGCGGGCUGUUGUGCUGAUAAACCUCCGUUUUCAGUGCAAUAUACUCUUUCAUAUUUUUCCUUCCCAAGAAGACACAGAUGCCUCUUACAAUGGCUGGACUCUCAGGAGAUGGCGCAGAGUUGAAGAAUCUUGCGGGGAAUCAGUGGAGCCUGAAGGGGUUCUGUGGCGAGAAUGUCCCAGAACAGGUGCAGGACUGAGAGCAAUUCCUGUCACAGUUAGAAUUCAGCUGCUUAGCUUGUUGACACAAUCUGGUUCAGCCAAC